AAAAGGUGACCAUAAUUACCAAAAAAAAAGUUUUCUAAGCCAUUAUUACCUUUCUCAAAUGUCAUAAAUGUUGAAAUAUUUUAUCUUUAAUGAUUUAUAAGCUAGCCUCUAGAGUUAAAUUAUUCUCUCAGUCAUAAAUGCACACUUCAUGCUGCCAAAGUUUACAAUUAAUAUACACUUAAAGGUCUUAUGCAAGGAAAUAGCCAAUAAAAAUGAUUUAGUCAAUUGUAGUUCUAUAUGUAAUGGUUUGGGCCGUGGAUAUCGGCCUGGGUAGCUCAGUCAGUAGAGCACCUGACUAGUGAUGCAGGGGUCCCGGGUUCGAUUCCCGGUCCUACCAUACCUAAUCUCAUUUCCUGUUACAGAUUUGGUGCCGUUGACCACCCCUGGACUUGGAGGUGAAAGUCCUCCCAGGGGCAAAUAAGAACUUGGGUUGCGUCUUCGCCCUUUGCGUCUUCGAGGGCGAAGACAAUUUAAGGAGGGAGGAAUGUAAUGGUUCUGGCCGUGGAUAUUGGCCUGGGUAGCUCAGUCGGUAGAGCACCUGACUAGUGAUGCAGGGGUCCCGGGUUCGAUUCCCGGUCCAGCCAUAGAUUUUCUCCUUUCCUGUUACAUAUAUAUAUAGAGACAAUUUCUUUUCCUUUUUUUUCUUUUUUGGCAUCUUAUUUUAGGCCUACAGUAUUAAUUUUGGGCUCAUUUACUAGGAAUAUUAUAACUUUAUUGGAAUUGUCCCACUGAAUUAAAGGGAACUCUUUUUUCAGGUGCGCAUGAUGCAACUUCCUGGAUGGUGUGUAGUCUGUUUGUCAACAUGUGAAACCCAUGUGUAUUUUGAGGAGUAGCCUCCCCUGUUAAAGAUCAAUAAUGGUGGAUAAACAAUGCAGGAUGCUGUCAUGUCAUCAACAGAGAGUUUUGACACCCGUAUACCCGUAUUGCUACCAAUCACCUCUGUAACCUUUGUUGUGUUCAUCAGACAGAUGAUGGACCACUCUACUUCCUUUUACAACAGGUGCCCCUACAGAUUCACAAAGUUUCAAUGUUGAUUUUCCAUGACCCCCAUUCAUCCGCGACAGGAAAAGGAAUGAAGUUGACAGGAUUUCCCGCACUGUCCUUGGUAGCAGCUUAUGAUAGAACGGACAGCAGUAGACAUAGCCCGCUUCAUCAAAGGUCUGCUGCAUGUUGGUAGCUGAUGCUGGUUCAAUAUUUGCGCCAAGAAGCAUACCACGCAUACCCUCUGUAGUAAGGCUGGUACCCAUGUGACCGACAGCCAUAGCCACAUUUAGCUGUGCAGCUCUGCGUCCCCUUCUGGAUCUCCCCACCUCUUCAUACAGCUUUUCACUGUGACUUGUAUAGUGGCACUUCUUACAUCGGAUGGAAAGGAUCCAUGCCAGGCCUCGUUUUUCCUCCCCAUGCUGGUUCCAGUCCAGUGAACCAUUACUGUCUGGAAACUUCUAGCUGCCUGGUCUUCUAAGAGAAACUCCAUUCUUUGAUGACUGAUGGAAAAGCCUCAUCACUCCCUACUGCUAAAGAACCACUUAUCUUAAUCACCAGCCAUUUAUCAGUGAUCACUGUUAUCAAAGCUCCAUGGUGCGCAUGAUGCAACUUCCUGGAUGUUUGUCAACAUGUGAAACCCACGUGUAUUAUGAGGUAGUUCAUGUAGAUUCUGACAAGGCCAUAGAGAAGGAACUGGGGAAAGAUGCUACCAGACUGGGUGGUAUAACUGAUUGCAUUUCGGACUCGACUAAUGAUUUUGUUUUUUCUGAGAUUGUAGACACCAAGGAGAUACUGCAAAUUAAGACAGAUCCAGUUUCGAAAAAGAAAAAUAAACUAAAGAGUCGAAAGACCCAGCUGGAGAGAGAUUCCCAUUUCUCGACCAAGGACAAAAAAAAAGAUUUAAAAGGUGCUGACUAAGGAGGCAACGUCUCCAGAAGUAACGGAUGAUGAGGAAGCCACCCAGAGGAAGGUCUUACCAUUUAUAUGGGAGUCAUCCCUGCUGCGUAAUGUUAAGUGCGACCUGGACAGAGAAUAUGCUGAAUCUUUGCAACUUCAAUCAAAGAGACAAAAAGCCAAGGCCAUUAGAAGUAGAACGGAAAUGACUAUGACCCCACCACCUAGGAGCAUUCAAGAGUGGGCCGUUUCCUCUACUUAUAAAUGAUGCUAUUAUUGUUAAUAGUUAUAUUUAAUUUCCUCAUUUCUAAAGGUUCAAGGUCACAAUUAAUAAUAUUAUACCGUUAUUAAAGUUUUUAUGAAAUUUUAAUAAUGCUGUUGAAGGAGAAUUGCAAUUUUUCGGAUGUUUAUAAUUGAUACUGUUUAAGUAUGUCUAGCAUCUUAAAAAGUGUGAUGACCUAUAUAUUUCAUUUGAUAAUUUAUUAAUUUUAACUUUAAUAAAUUGAAAUAAAUGCAUUAUUGAUCAUUUUAUCAGAGAAUAUUGCAAGUAUGGAGUUACCUUGAUAUAUUUAUACAGAUUUGUUCUGCUUUAGUACUAGUGUAUCAGUAUUAUUGCAUCAAGUUCAUUUGUGUGAAUAUAAUAAUAUUUAAGAAUGAAUAAAACUGUCAAAUUGUGGCUUGUAUUCUCUGUACAGUAGAAGGUCUUUGAGCAUCAAGUUGGAAACUUGAUAUCAAAUGCAUGUAUGCAGAAACCAUUUGCAUAUCAGUAGCUUAUGCAUGCGGAAACUUGAUGUAAACCAUAUAUAAACCAAUAUAGUUUAUGUAUGCGUAAACUUAUGAUAAACCAUAUAUGCAUGUUGAUGGUUUACGCCUGCGGAAACUUAUGAUAAACCAUAUGUAUGUCAAUGGUUUAUGGCUGCGGAAACUUGAGGUUUCAGGAAGUUUCCGUUGCGGAAACCAUAUGGAUUCGUGGACACCCUAAGUUUCCGGAGUGCGGAAUCUUGCUGAAACUUGAGGUUUCCAAGCGGAAACUUGGCAGAAACCUUAUGUAUACCUAAGUUUCCGCAGUGUUUCAGCCUUGCGGAAACUGCAUUUUUCAUCAUGUGUAACCAUAAAAAAAAAUUGUGUAGCUUUUAUUUGACUCAAAUUAUAUCAGUUAAAAUUCAUACUAUUGAAUAAAAGUUGUUGAAACCAAAAUAUCAGAGAAAUUGAAACUCGUGCUUUUCAAAAAGAUGUUAAAAAAAAGUUUCAUUGGUAGAUUAGGAUAUGGUAGCACAGUGUGUAGAGUGGCUGCUUCAUGAUCGGAAGAUUUUGGGUUCAUGCCCCGAGCAAACCCUAAAAUUUGGCAGUUGGUAUGCAAUGAGAGAUAGAUCAAGUAAAUUUUUCAUCAAGUGAUUUUUUCUCAAUGAAAUAUGUAUUUUAUAAUUAAAUAUUUGCAUGUAUUUAUGAGGCUGUGGAUUUGGUUGGGAUGUCUGCUUUACGAAUUUAUUCAUAUAAUUCUUACAUUUGCCUUUUAAGUACUACAGCCAUAUAUAUUGAAUGUAUAAAUGUAUAUAGUACAGGAAUUUUGUGGCUGCGUAGGCACUGUUGGUCAGGUUAACAGAAUCUGCUUCCUUUUCUUGGGGGGAUUAUACUGACUGGUCUAUUUUUCAUUUGCGAAAAAAGUAUUUUUUCAUUAUGAUUCUUAUUGAUAUUUCUAAAUGUAAGGAAACUCACACCAUUUAUAGGAAAUUCUGAUAUUUUUUAUGCAUAAAGAAUGAAAGAUUAUCAUUUGCAUUACAGAGUUUGAAAGAUAACAGAUACAGCGUGAAAUGGUCUAAAGAAGACACUGCAUGUUUGACCAAUUAAUUUCAAAAAUAUGUGCAGACUAAAUGUGCUGCCAGACAAUUACAAAAUAAAGUAUACCUUCUAAGCAAGAAAGAAAUAAGAGAUUUUAUGGAAGCCCAUAUUCUGGCAUCCAUAUGCCAUCUUUCGGUGAAAGAACAGUACCUCAAAAUACGAACAAAAUUAUUCAAUGAAAGGAAAACAAUUUGAAGAAGAUUGUCACUCACUUAAAAUUCUGAGUUCAUCAUACAUUCCUUCAUGUAUAUACAUGAAAAUAUUGUGUAUCAAGUCUUAGUUCUCUGUGAUUUAUUGCUAAUGCUAAAUAAAUGAAUCAUAUAACAGA